AGGACGAACGCUGGCGGCGUGCCUAAUACAUGCAAGUCGAGCGGGGCUACCUCCGGUGGCAACACUGGUGGUAGCCGAGCGGCGAACGGGUGAGUAACACGUGAGGAACCUGCCCCGAAGACCGGGAUACGCCGGGGAAACCUGGUCUAAUACCGGAUACCCUCAUUGGAUCGCAUGGUCCGAUGAGGAAAUGGAUUCCGCUUCGGGAGGGCCUCGCGGCCUAUCAGCUAGUUGGUGAGGUAACGGCUCACCAAGGCGGCGACGGGUAGC
rnacentral:rRNA from 1 species